CUCAGCGACGAUCAAAUCAUGACAACUUGGAAACGUGCCAUCGUAACUUUUUUGUUGUUGUAAUGCUACUAAGCAACAACAAUGACGUGCGAUGUUUAGUAAGAGUGGGGGCGGUGUUUUGUUUUUAACCUCCCAAUUAAAAUCGGUGCGAGGCUCCUUUUACGGCAUAUUUGUGUCGAGCACGUGGCCCGCGCGCGUGCAAGUCAGGCGUAGUGGUGUAGGGGGUGGUGUGGGCCUUGCCAACCAACAGACGUAGUCUAACCACUGCUGGAUGAAGGGCACCCUCCCUCCCCCCUCCGAAUCCGCCACCGCAAAUGCGAUGCAGCCGAUCCGCUCCCAUCAUCGGUCGUUUGGGAGCGACUCACCCGGAGAUACUUUUACGUUCCUUUGGCCAAAACGCUGUACCCUGGGCGCCGACGUUUCGUGCCCCACAAAGCCCGCUUGGGUUGUUGAUUGUGACCGAAGUAAAGUUUUUGCGUGAACGUAGGUGGGUUUAAAACACGUGGGGAUCCCGAGGGUUUGGUGAGCUUACUUGGGGGGGGCCCCGUUAGCGUUUAAGGAUUUCCAAAAAACUUGAGUGAACCUUUUGGGCCCGGCUUUUCGUGUUGAAAUGGCGAAUUCGGGAUCGCGGCAAACGCCCACGAUGGGUCGCUAACCUGGAGUUCCACGUGAAGGGCCUCCGUGUUUAGCCUGUCGCAGUUCUGGUGAAGUGCGUUGCCGAAAAAAAAACGUUUAAUAAUCGAUUGGUAAUUAACGUGAAUGGGUUGCGUUUAAUCGCUAGUUAAAAAUGCCAAGUUUGGAUUUUUUAAGGAUAGGCCACCGUCUGGGAAAUGAGGGCCAACUGAAAGGCCUCACGAAUGUCAAAUCGUUACAUUCUAGCCUGAUGAAGUAAUCGGGUUUUACGUCAAAAAUGACUUUGACUACAAUAAGACGGGCGGUGGAAUGCUUGGUAUAAAUUAAUAUUGAACAAGGCAACUAAAAUGUGCGUCUUGUAAAACAUCAAGCCUAUUGUAGUUGCUGAGGUUACAUUAACUAUUGCUAUGUCUGAAUCGCGUUAUUUUAGUGUGGUCAACUCGGUUAAAAAAAAUGUAGACUUGGCGAAUAUACAAUAGUUUUUUAUUGAGAUGCAGUAUUAAUAUAAAAUGUUUACAAUUGACCCACGUCGGAACUUGUACGUUACUACCUUGCAUUGUAUUCUAAUUAAACAAGUUUAAUUCCAAGUCCUUGCAAAGUGGAAAUGUUACUAAAAAUAAACGUUACUAAAAAUAAACGUUACUAAAACAUUUGUGGGAGCACAGUAUAGCGUUAAGACGCUGUUGGGGUUUGAUAGGUGGCGCAGUGGUUAGCGCAUUCCACGACGAACCCGGUUACUAGAAAUCGAUUUCUGGCCACUUACAAAUUGGUGGCCGGGUGAUGGCUGAACCGAUUCCUGGGCACUUAACCAACGCGAACUGACCGGGGUGAAGUAUUUGGUCAAGCAACACCCCCCCCCCAUGACUGACACAUCGCGUGAGAGCCUUGAUCCUAAGCGGUGGUUUGAAGGGGAAGGGCUGAAGAUUUUUAUUGCAACGAAUACAAUUUCCAGCAGAGAGGGGAGGGUUCAAACCCGGGUUUGUGGCGUGCUGCUUAAUGGGACCACUAUACCGGUAGAGGACGCAUUUUAAGCCCUAGGGGUUGGUGGUUGCAGUGGAAUUCGGGAGAUGUUUUUAGAAUUUAAUAUCAAGGCUGUGGGUAUACGGUAAUCCCUGCCUCAAAGUGUAGUUGACUUAAAUAGUUUGCACUCCCUUGACUGCAAACGUUUAUGGCAGCUACUGAUGAAUGGCAGGAUUUGAUCUCCAUCGUUUUGGGGGUGGGGUAUAGGGAGGCGGAAGUUAAAAAGGCACGUUGAAGAAACGCUGAAAAGUAACCGAAAUAUGUUGUAAGUAAAUCGUAUCAGUGGUGUAGUGUACACUGCGCGUUGGAGACGUGAUGAGAUUCCUACUUCGGUCCGUGUUGCUGAUGCACCCUGAUAACAACGAAGUCCUGAUUCUCCAACUAUUAAAACUGCGGAGUUAUUGCUUUGGGUUUACUGCAAUUACAUUUUGACGUGACCCCACGUGUUUGUCGGUUGCAGGUCACCAGACCAGCCAUGUGUCCCUCUGGCGAGCGGCAGCACCACUCGCCAGUCCAGGCGGAGUGCCAUCAACCACAUGUGCUGAAAGACAACGUGGGUGCCAACAAGGAUGUUGGCCAAGCGGGGGAGGGUGAGCGACCAUCCCGUGGGCGAAUGCGGUGCGAAACUGCCUCUUGCUGCAGGUCAUGGUGAUAACAAGGGCCCAAAACGUGCUCCUGUGCCCACCGAUAUUGAAAGGGAUGAGUUGGCGAGUGGCUUCGAGGACACGUAGACCCGACCGACAAUAUGAAGUGAAAUGUAUCCCGGACCUGCCAUGCAUGGCCUAGUCGCUGGCAUUGAUCAGGUCAUGAGGAAAUCCUUGGAGGUGGUGCCCUGGUGAAGCCGUUGAUGGCGACUCAUGUAUGCUGACCAACGCUAACAAGUAGAACAAUCUGAAACUGGUGUGGCCGCACCUUGGCUAUAAACCCCGAAGUGCAUUACCUUCUGAGCGCUCAAACGGAAUUCUGCAAGGGUGUGCUGAGACCGCUCAAUGGGAUGUCGUCUUCCUCCAGCAGCUCCACUCUGCAAGUUGAGGGUCGUGGUGAUCACGAGUCCUUGGGAGAGGUGCCUGGUGCAGCUAAUUAUUAAAACACGGGAGUGCUGUACCGGGCCACACUUAUACUGACCGACACCAAGAAAUGAAUGUAACCUGGAGCUGCUGUGGCUGGGCCUCGCAUGGCGAUAGCCCCCAAGUGCAUUACUCGUUGUGCUGAACACCCAAAUGCUGCCAUCUUACAAGGGCUGCAGAUGAGAAUCCUCCUGUGCCGUGACUGCUCAAUGGGGGGGAUGGUCUUCUAGGAUGGCCCAACUGGUCAUGGUGAUCACGAGUCCUUGGGAGAGGUGCCUGGUGCAACUAAUUAUUGAAACGCGGGAGUGCUGCACCGAGCCACACCUUAUACUGACACACCAAGAAGUGAAUGUAACCUGGAGCUGGUGUGGCUGGGCCUCGCAUGGCGAUAGCCCCCAAGGUCUUUUGUUUCUUUCAGUUCAUGCGGGGACUGCUCAUUGGAACAUGGAUUUCGAGAACCUAAACUCUGUUGAAAGAGGACCCUGCCACCCAAGUAGCCAAGAGGCUGACGGGCGACUGAAGCGCCCCCCUCCCGUUAUGUCGCUGUACAGGAGAUGGAAGAAGACUUGGCCUUUGGUGUGUGCAAACGGCGCAGCUCGGUAGCCGUUUGUAAUAUUUUGUUGUGAAAGCUACUUAUUUUCCGUUGAAUUUUUGCAUUUGCUGUUACGCUCAAGAACAGCUUGACUUGCAAAGUUGACAAUAAAAAUCUGAGUAUCACA